GCUGGGGUGCUGGAAUUGGUAGACAGCCAUGGCUUAGGACCAUGGGCUCCUUUUGGAGCAUGUGGGUUCGAGUCCCACCCCCAGCA
rnacentral:tRNA from 1 species